rnacentral:tRNA from 3 species
AGUUAAUGAACUUGAACAAGUUUAUGAUUUGAAAUCAUAUUAUAGAAAUAAAAUUUUCUAUUAACUU